UUUAAAUCCUUUAACGAGGAACCAUUGGAGGGCAAGUCUGGUGCCAGCAGCCGCGGUAACUCCAGCUCCAAUAGCGUAUAUUAAAGUUGUUGCGGUUAAAAAGCUCGUAGUCGGAUGUCUGUCUUCGGCCGGGCGGCGCCACUCUGAAUCAAGGGUGCUGCGUUUCACGCUCUGGGAGCCCGGGUGUCAAAGCCCGACUCUCUUUACGGUCGGACAACAUCGCCGGAGUGGUGGUCGGUGGGUCGCGUUGUAUCGGUUCGCGGACUUUCGGUUCUUUUUUUCCCAUCGGGUGUCUGUCUUUGUUCCGUCAUCGCUUCGCGGCGUUGCGGGCUAAGCUGCCUCGGUGUGGAGGAGAUCGAAACCGCGUUCAGUUGACGCGAUUCGCUCCACCCAGUCAAUCGUUCGGGGUGCCCUUUACCGGGUGUCUCGGGCGGCCGGCAACGUUUACUUUGAACAAAUUAGAGUGCUCAAAGCAGGUGUAUCCCAACGCCUGAAUAUCGCAGCAUGGAAUGAUGGAAUAGGACCUCGGUCCGAUUUUGCUGGUCUUUUACUUUUGGACCCGAGGUAAUGGUCAAUAGAGACGGAC
rnacentral:rRNA from 1 species